rnacentral:ncRNA from 1 species
UUUUUUGCGAUGAUGAAGAAGAGUAGAUUAUAUGAAAGUUUCAGAGAGCUGACGGUUGGUGCAAGUCAGUACGGACAUAUUUUUGAAUGGGCUUCUGAGCACCCAAACCGAACCAUUUAUUUAUGCAGUAGGCUUUGGCGGACGUCUCACCGAUAAAAGAGACAGGUAUUCAAACUAGUGUUUCGAUACUGCUUUUUGUCACAAGGUAGUUCAAUUCAUUUGUUUUGAUACUGCAAAGUGAGUCUAAACGGUUUUAGGCUAAUUAAGGUGGCACCACGGGAGUCCUCGUCCUUUUU